rnacentral:rRNA from 1 species
CGAACGCUGGCGGCGUGCUUAACACAUGCAAGUCGAACGGAAAGGCCCCUUUGGGGGUACUCGAGUGGCGAACGGGUGAGUAACACGUGAGUAACCUGCCCUUGACUUCGGGAUAACUUCAGGAAACUGGGGCUAAUACCGGAUAGGAAUCCUUGCUGCAUGGUGGGGGUUGGAAAGCUUCGGCGGUUUUGGAUGGACUCGCGGCUUAUCAGCUUGUUGGUGGGGUAGUGGCUUACCAAGGCUUUGACGGGUAGCCGGCCUGAGAGGGCGACCGGCCACAUUGGGACUGAGAUACGGCCCAGACUCCGACGGGAGGCAGCAGUGGGGAAUAUUGCACAAUGGGCGGAAGCCGGAUGCAGCAACGCCGCGUGCGGGAGGACGGCCUUCGGGUUGGAAACCGCUUUCAGCAGGGGCGAAGCUUGUGGUGACGGUACCUGCAGAAGAAGCACCGGCUAACUACGUG